rnacentral:rRNA from 1 species
ACUCCUACGGGAGGCAGCAGUGGGGAAUAUUGCACAAUGGGCGCAAGCCUGAUGCAGCAACGCCGCGUGAGCGAUGAAGGCCUUCGGUCGUAAAGCUCUGUCCUCAAGGAAGAAUAAAUGACGGUACUUGAGGAGGAAGCCCCGGCUAACUACGUGCCAGCAGCCGCGGUAAUACGUAGGGGGCAAGCGUUAUCCGGAAUCACUGGGGCGUAAAGGGGUGCGUAGGCGGUUUUUCAAGUCAGAAGUGAAAGGCUAUGGCUCAACCAUAGUAAGCUUUUGAAACUGUUAAACUUGAGUGCAGGAGAGGAAAGUGGAAUUCCUAGUGUAGAGGUGAAAUUCGUAGAUAUUAGGAGGAACACCAGUGGCGAAGGCGACUUCUGGUCUGUAACUGACGCUGAGCGACGAAGACGU